UUAAGGGCUUACAUCAAAAUGUGAUCUAUUCUGAUAAAGUAAACUCUAAUUCACAAGCAGCCUUUGUCCUUUGUGUUAUGAAUAAAUUUGAUACAAAGUGCAUGGUGUGCCUAAAACGCAGGAGGACAGGAACCUGGCACAUGCCUGCACACCGAUGCCUAAGGCUUAUGUAAGUCUGUUGGGUUGGAAGCCAGCACAAAAUGACAUUAGCAAACAUAUUAUUCAUCUAUUUUGCAGGUGGUCAUUAGCAGGGCAAUUCUAUGCACGCCAGCUCACAGGAAGGCUGCACUGACUUCAAUGGAGCUUACUCUCGGAAAAAAAGUGGUUUGGAUGUCAGAAAAGCUCAAGAGUUAUGAAAGCAGCUUUAGGAGUUACACUUUGUUCUCCCCUCAACCCCACUGCCCAAAGGUAACUCCAGAAGAAGCACCCAGCUAUAUAUGGUCACCAGAUUGAAAACUGGAAAUGGCUCCUGUACCUUUAAUGUUCAUCUGGAAGAUGGGCUUUAAACAAGUGUGUAUCUCAAGCAGGUAACCAGCAACCAAGGAACCAGCAACAUCUGGUGAAUUUCCCUCCCCUAAGCCACUGCUUCUUAAGCUGUGGAUCACAACCCCAAAUGUGGUUCCCAUAGAUCAAUGUUGGGGUCAUGAAAACAUUGGCAACAGUAAAGGUUUUCUGAACAUCAC
rnacentral:lncRNA from 11 species